CUUGAAAGUUUAUUUAAUGUUGUUUGUCAAUGUUUCCUUGUUUUAAUGCUACGAAUGGAAAGACCCGAAUUAACAGACAAAGAAGAUAUUUGUAUAUACUCAGGAGUAUAUACUUACGCAUAUAAAAUUAUAAUGCUUGUCAAGCCUUUCAUUGAAUGCUACUCUUCAUUUUUGUUAUCUCAAAUUUCAGAAAGGAAGCUUAUCAAUUAGUCAAAGGAAUGUCACUGUGCUGCUUUUAUGGAAUGUCGUCAUAUCAAUUUACCUUCUUUGUCUAAUUUUUUAUGUGGUUAUUUUACUGUAACCACUCAAAAAAUUAUCUCACAAUUUUAUUCAACUUCUACUAAAAUCGGAUGAUAAAUAUUUUAUUUUUAACACUCUUCGGAUUUUUGUGACGAUUCUGUUUUUAAUUUUACUUAGACUUUCAAUGUGUUGUUGUUUUUCUUUAUAUUACCAUAAAUACAACUUACGUUCUAAAGGUUGCCAACUAUCUUACUUUUUUUGUAAAAAUUAUUAAAUAAACAAAUAAAAUUAUUUUCUAUUUUCCA